AACGGUCUAUACCUGCGGUACCUGCGGAGGGAUCAUUACAGAGUUUACAACUCCCAAACCCACUGUGAACCUUACAGCGUCGUUGCCUCGGCGGACCGCCCCCGGCGCGGCCCCCCUCGGGGGGACGCCCGGGACCACGGCGCCCGCCGGAGGACCCAAACUCUUGUAUUUGCAGGAUGCAUUGCUCUGAGUGAAAACAAGCAAAUGAAUCAAAACUUUCAACAAUGGAUCUCUAGAUCG
rnacentral:misc_RNA from 1 species